UCUCGCGUCAGGAUAUGCCCAGGUGGGAUUAGCUAGUUGGUGAGGUAAGGGCUCACCAAGGCGACGAUCCCUAGCUGGUCUGAGAGGAUGAUCAGCCACACUGGAACUGAGACACGGUCCAGACUCCUACGGGAGGCAGCAGUGGGGAAUAUUGCACAAUGGGCGCAAGCCUGAUGCAGCCAUGCCGCGUGUAUGAAGAAGGCCUUCGGGUUGUAAAGUACUUUCAGCAGUGAGGAAGGCGGGUACGUUAAUAGCGUGCUCGUUUGACGUUAGCUGCAGAAGAAGCACCGGCUAACUCCGUGCCAGCAGCCGCGGUAAUACGGAGGGUGCGAGCGUUAAUCGGAAUUACUGGGCGUAAAGCGCAUGCAGGUGGUUUGUUAAGUCAGAUGUGAAAGCCCGGGGCUCAACCUCGGAAUUGCAUUUGAAACUGGCAGACUAGAGUACUGUAGAGGGGGGUAGAAUUUCA
rnacentral:rRNA from 1 species